CGGAGGCUUCACCCUUCGCUCCACAGGGUCGGCAGCAGGGCGGGGCCUCCGGAAGCUCCGCCCCACGCGUUCCCGGGGCGCAUGCGACGUGGGGCGGAGCGUCUGGAAGCUCCGCCCGUCGCACUGCAGAGUCGGCCGAGGCGCACGAGGUAUUUUUCACGCUCCGCCCCGCUGCAGGCUAAAGUGCGUGGGCGGGAAGCGGUGGGCAGGGUGCCAUCUGGCUCUGCCCUUCUCCUGUGGUGUGGGCCAGGCGGCGGGUUCCUCCUCCUGCAGCAGCCACAGGCUCCACCCUGAUCCUUCUCCCGCGGCGUGGAUCCUUCUCCCGCAAUCUCCGUUCGCGUCCCCAGUCAGUACCCGCAGCCUCCCGACGCACCCGCUGGCUUCAAGCCUCCCUACCCCAGGUUUCCUGGCUAAGAGAGAGACAGAGGGAGAGAGGGGGAAGAGAGAGAACAGGCAAUGGGAGGUUGAUGGUGAGAGCUUAUUGAAAGACAAGAGGGAGGAAACCCACAUCCUUCAUUCCCCAUCCAUUCAUUUAUUGCCUUAUUUAUUCCAUUGAAUCUUCACAGCUCUAGAAAAAGCGUGCUACAAUUAUUCCCUUUAUUAAAUGAGGUCACUGAGGCACAGACAGUUUAAGAAAUUUGCCAGCAGGGCACAGUGGCUCACUCUGGUAAUCCCAGAACUUUUGAGAGGGGGAGGAAGGUGGAUCCCUUGAGCCCAGGAGUUGGAGACCAGCCUGGCCAACAUGGCGAGACCCCGUUUCUACAAAAAUUAGCCAAAAUUAGCCAAACUGGCUCACGCUUGUAGUCCCAGGUACUCGAGAGGCUGAGGCCGGAGGAGCGUGUGAGCCCAGGAGGCAGUGGCUGCGCUGAGCCAUGAUUGUGCCACUGCACUCCAGCCUGGGCAACAGAGUAAGACCAUCUCAAAAAAAAAAAAAAAAAAAAAAGGAAAAAAGAAAAAAAGAACUGGCUGGGAGUGGUGGCUCAUGCCUGUAAUCCCAGCACUUUGGGAGGCCGAGGCGGGCAGAUCACAAGAUCAGAAGUUCGAGACCAGCCUAGCCAACAUGGUGAAACCUCAUCUCUACUAAAAAUACAAAAAUCAGCCAGGCAUGGUGGCAGGCACCUAUAAUCCCAGCUACUAGGGAGCCUGAGGCAGUAGAAUCGCUUGAACCUGGGAGGCAGAGGUUGCAGUGAGCCGAGGUUGCGCCACUGCACUCCAGCCUGGACAACAGAGCAAGACUCCGUCUCAAAAAAAA
rnacentral:lncRNA from 1 species